CCUACGGGAGGCAGCAGUGAGGAAUCUUCGUCAAUGGCCGGAAGGCUGAACCAGCCAUGCCGCGUGAAGGUCAGUGCCCUAUGGGCGUUAAAGUUCUUUUGUGCGGGAGCAAUAAUGGUCACGUGUAGCCAGACGAGAGUACCGUACGAAUAAGCAUCGGCUAACUCCGUGCCAGCAGCCGCGGUAACACGGAGGAUCCAAGCGUUAUCCGGAUUUAUUGGGUUUAAAGGGUGCGUAGGCGGUUCGAUAAGUUAGAGGUGAAAUACCGGGGCUCAACACCUGAACUGCCUCUAAUACUGUUGAACUAGAGAGCAGUAGCGGUAGGCGGAAUGUAUGGUGUAGCGGUGAAAUGCGUAGAUAUCAGACAGAACACCGAUUGCGAAGGCAGCUUACCAAUCUAUAUCUGACGUUGAGGCACGAAAGCGUGGGUAGCAAACAGGAUUAGAUACCCCUGUAGUC
rnacentral:rRNA from 1 species